rnacentral:rRNA from 1 species
AACGAACGCUGGCGGCAUGCCUAACACAUGCAAGUCGAACGAUGCCUUCGGGCAUAGUGGCGCACGGGUGCGUAACGCGUGGGAAUCUGCCUUUCGGUUCGGAAUAACUCAGGGAAACUUGAGCUAAUACCGGAUAACGUCGCAAGACCAAAGAUUUAUCACCGAAAGAUGAGCCCGCGUAGGAUUAGCUAGUUGGUGAGGUAAAGGCUCACCAAGGCGACGAUCCUUAGCUGGUCUGAGAGGAUGAUCAGCCACACUGGGACUGAGACACGGCCCAGACUCCUACGGGAGGCAGCAGCGGGGAAUAUUGGACAAUGGGCGAAAGCCUGAUCCAGCAAUGCCGCGUGAGUGAUGAAGGCCUUAGGGUUGUAAAGCUCUUUUACCCGGGAAGAUAAUGACGGUACCGGGAGAAUAAGCCCCGGCUAACUCCGUG